rnacentral:lncRNA from 1 species
GGCAGCAAUGUUGCACACUUAAAGAACAUAAUAAAUAUAAAAUGUUGUCAAUUGAUAGGAAAUAGAAGAAUCUGUCCAAAUGAAAAAGAUUGAAAUACCCAUCCAAAUUUUUUAUUACAGGAGAAGUUGUAACUAAACCCUACAAAAAGGAUCCCUGACCCUGGUUGGUUUAGCAUCCAACCUCUCAUAUAAGUGGGCAUCAUAGGAUCGCCCAGCUCGUUUCUGUUGGUCUGAUGUAACUGUUCCAUGAGAAAAAUUGUUAGGCUACUCUCUUGAGAAAAUUUUCAGGACAUACAAUGCUUAAUACAGGAUGAUAGAUGUUUAAACUUAAAAAGUAUAAAGAGCAAAAUCUGCACCAAGGGCAGAACAAAACUUGUUGUAUAGCCAUCAGAGCUGGGUCGAAUUGAUCACCCAAUAUCCAUGAGCAUCACUUCUUUCUUACAAAAUCACUUAAUAUGCCCACUCCUCUAGCUUAACAAAAUGUAUUGUUACUCAUGCGAGGGAUUAGUGAGUAUGGAGUUACUUUAAUGGUUCAGAGAUUAUAUAAAACCAUCUGUACUCUAAAAAAGGAGCUGUAUUAUGCUUAUGCAAGUCGACUAAUGGUAUUAGAGUGUGAUUUCAACUUGCUAUGCAAAAGCUAUAGUGCCUGAACUUAAAAGGCAAGGCUCCAGAAACAUCACAUAUUACUAGGAACAUUUUAGAGAUGUCUUGUUAACAUCCAAUGAGCCUAUUCAGAGUAGCAAGAGAAACCAACAAAUGAAACAGGGAACUCAUACCAGGCUCUGCUUGAACCUCUCGACAAACUCACUAUUCUUAAUUCCCCCAAAAUCUCACGGUAGCCAAAAACCCAUCGGUCAGCCCACCAAUAAAAAUAACUUGCUGUUUGCAAUCACCUGUUUUGAAAGCAACCUGUGCCAAGAGAAAAUAAGAACGAAGGCGAUAUGAAUGAAAUAGUGGUCUUAAGACAAUCAUUAUGAAAUACGAGCACAAAAACAAAUUUGAUAGUGCGCAUAACAAAAGAAUUGAAGUCACUAAAUCAUAAAGAUUUAAGUCUACUUCUUGUUGAUAUAGCAUAUAGCUCUUGAUGCAUCAUACAAAACAUAGAAACCUAGCAUAUUUCUUCGUCUCUCAUAAUUUGAGCAUCUUAUCUAUCACUCCAACAAGGAGAGAGUGUAAGAAACAACAAAGGCACACUAAACCCUUUUAUCCAGUUAUCCGCAGCUUGCAACAGAGAAUUAGCCAAUAAACAACAAAGGCACACUAAACCCUUUUAUCUAUCACCCUUUCAAGUUUAGCCAGUUAUCCGCAGCUUGCAACAGAGAAUUAGCCAGCUGCCGCUGAUUUUGCUUUCCAUUCAGGCCUUCUUCUAAGUUCUACAAGACUAAUCAAUCUACCUAGACAGAAACAAAAUACUGAUUAAUCACCAGAGAAACUUAGAAUUGUGGCAAAUAAACACAUGCAAAAAGUUGAAUAAGAGAAUUCCCAGAAAGUUAAGAUAGAAAUUUCCUGUUCGUUGACUAGAAAAGCACACAUUAAACCCAUACACGAGUUUCAGAAAAUCAUCAACCAAUAUUCAAUUCAAACUACCACCAAAAUAAGCAAACCGCCAGACCAACGAUUCAGAACAUCAAAGUGUAAAUUGCAAAGAGAGGCAUCAAAACGAAAGCCGAGAUCACCACCUUCGAAAUACUAACGAGCUAACGGCUGGAACGCUACACAAUCAAAAACCCUCGAGCAAAAUUGGAUCUUUAGAGAGAGAAAGGAGGGAUUGAGGAAAUCGGAGUAGGUGAGGACGGCAGAGAGAAGGAGAAUUGGCGAAAAAGGCACCUCCACCACGGCGAUGCACUCAAGAAGACGAAGAAGGACCAAUUUAUUGGAAACAAAUUCAUUAUAAAAUAAGAAAUUCAAACAUAAAACACCAUUUUGAACAAAAUACAAAAAUACAAUAAUUCAGAAACUAUUUUUCAGACUCAC